ACUACGUUGGUGUAACCUGGUUAGCACAGAGGGUUGUGGCUCCUCUAGUUCGGGUUCAAAUCCCGAGCGUGGUC
rnacentral:tRNA from 2 species